GAGCGGCUCGGCAUCGUCUCCCGAGUGUUUGGCCCUCAAAAGUCGGGCGCUCGUGGUAGAUCUCGGCCGCCAUCGAACGACCAACUCAGAACUGGCACGAUCCAGGGGAAUCCGACUGUCUAAUUAAAACAAAGCAUUGCGAUGGCCGCAAGUCAGUGCUGACGCAAUGUGAUUUCUGCCCAGUG
rnacentral:ncRNA from 1 species